GAAAGGGAUACGUGAAAGGAUAAAACAAAAACCCGCAGACACUCGGACUUCUGUGGAAUGAGUUUGAGACCCCUGCCCAUGACUGUAUUUGUUAGUGACAGAGACAUUGUUGAAUGUGUUCAUUUUCUGUCUUAUGGCAAUACAUUACAAAUCUCUAAAGGCCUUAUUUUGAGUCCUAGCCUUACCCUAAUACAGAGACCUGAAACUCAUGCUUUAAAGGCCACAUCAGGCCUGCAUGUAGGGUUGCAACAUUCCAGUAACACACACACACAGACAGCAAUAGUUAGAAAGCAAAUGAGAAGGAUGUGGUGAUAUCUGACACCAUUGGGUUAGUACAGUGUAUUUCAGGUGCAUUUGUCAGAAUAUUCAUGUGGCUGGAGUAGGGAUCGAGAUAGAGAGAGGGAGAAAUUGAGAGAGAAAGAGAGAGGCUGGCAGGAGCAGCAGCAGCAGCACAGCACUGGACGAAGGUAGAGUGAGGGAGAGGGACCCUCUGGACUUGGUCGUUCGUUCAGUGCAGCUCUAAGAGGAAAGCGAUCAGGAGAGAGAGAGAGAGAGAGAGAGAGAGAGAGAGAGAGAGAGAGAGAGAGAGAGAGAGAGCGAGAGAGAGAGAGAGCAGGCAGGAGCGUAGAGGUAGAGCCAGCAGCUGAGCUGAUCACGAGGUGUCAGUCUUAUUCUUUCCAUCCAUCUCCUCUAUUCCUUCACUCACUUCUUCUUCUUCUGAGUGCACCAGACCUUUUACCAGAGCUGUGCGAUAAGCGGGAAUCCCACGUUUUGAAAAAAGAACUCCAGACAGAUAGAUAGACAGACAAAAGAAGAAUGUAAAUGAAUGGAACGACAGUGACAGAGAAAAAUAAGUUAACUUCUGAAGACUCAUCCAGUACUGGAGGGGCUGUGGUGUGCAACACCAGAAAGCAAGAUACUUGGAAGUUGCUCGAGUGGUAUGUGGCUAUUAUAGAACAAGCACUUUUCAUGACUCCAGUGCUGUUUGGCCUUGGGUUCUUGAGAGAUAUGGCUGGAAGAGAGUGGUGGCAGACAACAGUGGAGGGCAUCUUCACUAAGUGGCGAGAACGUGUAGGAGAUCAUCCUCAUGGAGUUCAUCUAUUUGAGCUGAUUCAAGAAACUAUGAGAAGGGAGUGGUUCAGCUGA
rnacentral:lncRNA from 8 species